rnacentral:rRNA from 1 species
CAGUGCUGCAGCUAACGCAUUAAGCAUUCCGCCUGGGGAGUACGACCGCAAGGUUGAAACUCAAAAGAAUUGACGGGGGCCCGCACAAGCGGUGGAGCAUGUGGUUUAAUUCGAAGCUACGCGAAGAACCUUACCAGGUCUUGACAUCUUCUGCUAACCUAAGAGAUUAGGCGUUCCCUUCGGGGACGGAAUGACAGGUGGUGCAUGGUUGUCGUCAGCUCGUGUCGUGAGAUGUUGGGUUAAGUCCCGCAACGAGCGCAACCCUUAUUAUUAGUUGCCAGCAUUAAGUUGGGCACUCUAGUGAGACUGCCGGUGACAAACCGGAGGAAGGUGGGGACGACGUCAAAUCAUCAUGCCCCUUAUGACCUGGGCUACACACGUGCUACAAUGGACGGUACAACGAGUUGCGAGACCGCGAGGUUUAGCUAAUCUCUUAAAACCGUUCUCAGUUCGGACUGCAGGCUGCAACUCGCCUGCACGAAGUUGGAAUCGCUAGUAAUCGCGGAUCAGCAUGCCGCGGUGAAUACGUUCCCGGGCCUUGUACACACCGCCCGUCACACCAUGAGAGUUUGUAA